rnacentral:rRNA from 1 species
GACGAACGCUGGCGGCGUGCCUAAUACAUGCAAGUUGAGCGAUGAAGAUUGGUGCUUGCACCAAUUUGAAGAGCAGCGAACGGGUGAGUAACGCGUGGGGAAUCUGCCUUUGAGCGGGGGACAACAUUUGGAAACGAAUGCUAAUACCGCAUAACAACUUUAAACAUAAGUUUUAAGUUUGAAAGAUGCAAUUGCAUCACUCAAAGAUGAUCCCGCGUUGUAUUAGCUAGUUGGUGAGGUAAAGGCUCACCAAGGCGAUGAUACAUAGCCGACCUGAGAGGGUGAUCGGCCACAUUGGAACUGAGACACGGCCCAAACUCCUACGGGAGGCAGCAGUAGGGAAUCUUCGGCAAUGGACGAAAGUCUGACCGAGCAACGCCGCGUGAGUGAAGAAGGUUUUCGGAUCGUAAAACUCUGUUGGUAGAGAAGAACGUUGGUGAGAGUGGAAAGCUCAUCAAGUGACGGUAACUACCCAGAAAGGGACGGCUAACUACGU